rnacentral:lncRNA from 1 species
GCGGGAGGCCACAGGUGAAGCGAAGGGUGUGUCUUACUUCAGCGGCCCUAUUCAAAGGAAAAAACAUGAAAAUUAAAAUCAAGUUACAAUUUUGUAUUGGCAUAAAACAUAUCAGCAAAUAAGAUGUCUGAAAAGGAGGGUAUGUCAGAAGAGCUAGAGGAUACUAUUAGUCAAUUUAGGAAAGAAUCUAGAUCACGGUCAAUGAAGGAGCCUGGCUUUAUUAAAGAAACAUCAAAUUUGAUAAACGAAGCUUCUGAUUACCUGGAAGGGAAAUCUUUUAACCAGAUUUAUGAAACACAUCCUAGACAGAAUACAUUAGAGUCAACAUCUUCCUCUGGAAGGAAGUCUAAGAGAAAUGAAGAACAAAAGAAAAAUCUUCAGUUUUCUGAAACAAGCACUAGAACAGGAACUUCACAGAGUUUAUCAUCACUAACUGGGAGGACUGCAGAAUAUCAGGCUUUGGUUAACUUCCUACCUCAUGAAACAGUAGGAGAAGUUAGUCCACAAGUCUCUGAAGAAAAUCAGAAACAACUUGGCUUAGGGGAAGAUAACUUUACAGUUAACCUUGAGGCCAAGGGUUUACAGGAAUUUCCUAAGGACAUUUUAAAAAUCAAAUAUGUAAAAUAUCUAUAUUUAGACAAGAAUCAAAUCAAAACUUUUCAAGGGGCAGACUCAGGUGAUCUGUUAGGACUUGAAAUUCUAUCCCUGCAAGAAAAUGGAUUAUCAUCACUUCCAUCUGAAAUUCAGUUACUUCAUAAUUUAAGGAUAUUAAAUGUCAGUCAUAACCACAUAUCACAUAUACCUAAAGAAAUAUCUCAGCUUGGGAAUAUCAGACAACUCUUUUUUUAUAACAAUUACAUUGAAAAUUUUCCUACUGACUUAGAAUGUCUUGGAAACUUGGAAAUUUUAAGUUUGGGUAAAAAUAAGUUAAGACAUAUACCAG